GCUGAGCCUCCUUCCUCAAACAGCUCCUCUCUAACUUUUGUCUGGUUUCCUCCAGAGCUCUCCACGUCUCUGUCAGGACACCACCUAAACACAAGAUCAAGCCUUCAUGCUGCUACAGGCUGAAUUUUGGCAGCAUUCAAGAAACUGGACUGGGUAGGUUGGGAAAAAAGACAACAAUUUAAUUAUUCUGCCAUUGAAAAAAUGUAAAGUAAAUAACAAUUCUGUGGGCUCUUUCUGAACCUCACAAGCACCCAGUAUCACCAAGGUGACUAAGGAGCUUCCUGAGGGAAAGUGGGACACUUCACAGCAGGCCUUUGUAGAAAAAAAUCACUUAAACUGCAACAGAUCUACACAAAUGGAAGUGUCAGCCCUGGAAUCACAACCUACAAGACAUUUUUGCUUUCUUAGCUUGUUCUACUAUUCUGUGUACAGAGCAGCACUGGAAAGGUGAUGCAUCAUCUGGACCUUAAAGCAGAUCUUGUAUUUGAACCCAACUGUACACGCUGGCCUAAAUAUAUACAAAUGGAAGUUAAUAAAUCACAGAUGGCACAAUGAAAACAAAAACUGUAGCUUCAAUCCUCCAGAUGCACUCUACUCUCUAACAUCUAUGGUGAACUUUCUUGGCAGAUCUUUAUGUAAAAUAUAAUGCUACCAAAGAAUACAGCAUACAGCAGAGAUUGCUGUCCUACAACAGCCUCUUAAUCAUGUCUGUAAGAGAUUCACCUGGUGUUGUCAAGUGUUUUUACAUCAGGAGCCUUGGAGCUGGACUUUUGGACUAUUUUUGCACCUGUUUGAGAUUCUGACCUUCUGCAGUUGGUAUACCCAUGUGUUUGUGUACAAUAGCUACUUAUUUGGUUCCCAAGUUUUUUGCUCAGUUAUUCUCCCAAAUUCCACUCUGAAGAAGGACUCCAGGGGAGAGAAAGAAAAAUACAGAUCCAACUUAAAUACACAACAGCUGCUGAUACAGAAAUUUUGCCUUUGUCAGCUGAACAAUAUAUGCAGGGCUCAGGAGAGAAUGCCUCCCACUCCAUUAUGUGUAUGGAAAACUAUAUGAAGCCCCAUUAUCGCUACAAAGAAUCACAAUAGGGAAGGGGAAGAGUUGGAUUAAUUCAACAGGCCUUGAAUCAAACCUUUCAGUUCUGUGGGACUUGGAACACAAGCUGAGG